UGGCCUCUGCCUGUCCUGGGGGGAGGCCGGAUCCUGGGCUGUGUCCCCGGCGCCCUGUGCUCCUGGGCCUGCGCUGUUGGAUUCCCGCUCCCGGCCACGCAGCCCCCUC
rnacentral:pre_miRNA from 1 species